AAAUGGCCUCACAGAAACUUUCAAACAGUUCAGGAACAGCAAGCCUGUAACUGAACUUUUUUAACUCUCAGAAAAGUGGGAAAAAAGCAAGAUUUUUUUUUUGUUUUUGUUUUUUACGGAGAUAGCAGAGGUUCACAAGUAAUAUCAACUG